AUGGCGACCCACCGCAGCCUCCAAGACCUCGACGACGGUCGGUGCUACGGUAUGAAUCCCUCCUCCCCUUGUCUUCUUCUACUUGACCUUUUCUCUCCGUCUCUCCCUGACCCCCUCGUCCCUUCUCUUCUCUUCUCUGUAGGUGAGGCACAUCAGCCAGCGAUGGCACGACGAGGAGAGCAUCCUCCUUCUCCUGCCAGUGCCAUGGAAUGGAAGUUAGAUCCUUCGAGAGCAAUGGGAAGAGGCAAUGAUGGUCAUGGGUACCCACCCGGUGGCCAGGGGGGAUACCCUCCGGCAGGGUACCUGCCGCAGCAGGGAGGUUACCCUCCACAGCAAGGAUACCCGCCUGCACCUGGAGCUUACCCACCUGCACUAAAGCUCAAGGUGAAGAAGGCCAUCGAGAAGGGCAACACCGACGGCGCCCAGAUCUAUGCAGAGAGCGCCAUCCGCAAGCGCACUGAGCACAUGAACUACCUCCGCCUCGCCUCCCGCCUCGCUCCAUAUGCCCAUGAGUUCUAUGCCAUCUCGGCGGAGUACCCUGAGUUCAGCAAGAAGGACAAGACACUCGUGCUGCAGUUCACGGUGAAGCAUGAGCAAAAGCUUGUCUGCGGUGGUGGUUACAUCAAGUUGCUCGGAGCCUUGCCUGUGUACAAUUUCUUCUUGAUAUGCUUCAAUUUUAAACCGUACAGUACAUGAAGUCAGCCUCCGGCCAUUGCGGAUCUGCAGACGCCGCUGGUGCAACCAAAGAGGAAGGUGGACUACCUGCUACGGUUUGCUUCAGCUCGUGCGGAUAGGAGGUGGAUACCCGCCCGGAUCCGGCGUCUCUGA
rnacentral:rRNA from 1 species